rnacentral:lncRNA from 1 species
GAUUGGUGACUCGUUGAGGCGGAUGAGAUCUCGAAUAGGUCGAGGAAGCUCUCCGCUGGGUGAUGAUUCCGAUCUGGGUAAAGCUUUGUGUGCGUGUGGUGUGGGGAUGGAGGAGAUCUCGACUCUGGUCGAUUGAGGCUCUUCAUCGGUGUAUGCCCUGAAACUGGUGGGCUUGUGAUCGUGCUACUAUCUCCGGUAGGUUUCCGGCGACGAAUCUCAGUCGGUGAAGACGGUGGAGGCUGCUUCCAACACGUGUCCCUCCUCUUCGAGCGGUUAACACGUGACCACCGAAUCUUCUUCUGACGUGUUUUAGUAUUUGAGCCGUUUGUUGGACCUUAGAUCUUUAAAUAUAUGAUGUUGGGUUUAUAUUCCCUUUUGUCUGGGCUUUUAUGUUUUUUUUUGUAAUAAACUCUGUUUAAUAUAGUAUCAGUUGGAAAAAAAAAGUGUGCACUGGACAAUUAGUUAUAUUAAUUUUAUGUUAUUUUUAUUUAAUCUUAAAAUACUAGCAAUAUCUCUCUU